rnacentral:rRNA from 1 species
GACGAACGCUGGCGGCAUGCUUAACACAUGCAAGUCGAACGGUGGAAGAGGAGCUUGCUCCUCUGGAUUAGUGGCGAACGGGUGAGUAACACGUGAACAAUCUGACCCUGACUUCGGAAUAACUACGCGAAACUGUAGCUACUCUAGGAUCUGCGACGAACCGGCGUCGAUAUCGGUGGGACAGCAUUUCGGUCAGGGAUGAGCUCGCGGCCUAUCAGCUUGUUAGUGGGGUAGCGGUUGACCCAGGCGACGACGGGUAGCCGGCCUGAGAGGGGGGACGGGCACAUGUGGCCUAAGACAGGGCGCAGACGCCUACGUGAGGCAGCAGGGGGAAACAUGGCACAAUGGUCCCAAGUCUGUGGCAGCAACCCCGCGGGUGUGAUGACGUCCUUCGGGGUGAAAACCUCUGUUAGCAGGGAAGAAGCGAAAGUGACGGUACCUGCAGAAAAAGCGCCGGCUAACUACGUG